rnacentral:lncRNA from 1 species
CAAUAUCAAACCUUUCAAUAUUGAAUUAGAACUCUUCUAAUCUGUAAAAUAAUUUAUUUAAAUUAUUUUUACUUCUUCACUGUCCGCGAGUGACACCUAGCAGCAUAUCACGACAAUCCAGAAUGAUGAUGAAAAACGAACAUUUCCGCUAACCGUUACCUUGUGAUUAAUUCGUUCCAAAACACAACGUCCCGAUCGAACUAAGAUUAUGGUUACUUGCCAAAUCUUAUUAUUCGAUCAUAUGACUAGAAUAUCUAAAACUGACUCAAUAUGGUAACACAGCUGGAAACUCUUUCCGCACACCACGUACCCUGGCCAGA